UACGGGGGGGGGCAAGCGUUUGUUCGGAAUUACUGGGCGUAAAGGGCUCGUAGGCGGCCAACUAAGUCGGAUGUGAAAUCCCCAAGCUUAACUUGGGAACUGCAUCCGAUACUGGAUGGCUUGAAUCCGGGAGAGGGAUGCAGAAUUCCAGGUGUAGCGGUGAAAUGCGUAGAUAUCUGGAGGAACACCGGUGGCGAAGGCGGCAUCCUGGACCGGCAUUGACGCUGAGGCGCGAAAGCCAGGGGAGCAAACGGG
rnacentral:rRNA from 1 species